ACAAUACAGUCAAUCUUAAGGAGUUGGCUGGAAGGUCACACUCAAAGGCUUGAGGUCAAUAGCUUGAAGUCCAAAUAGAGGUUUAGGAAACAGUACAGAGCUAUAGUGUGCUCAGCAUGCUAAUGAAAACCGGCUCCUUACCCACAAAUCCUGGUAAAGUCUUUAGUCUGAGGAUGCGUUUCUACUUUGGUUGACAGUUUUAAUGAAGUACUUGACUUAAGAUGAACUUCUAAAACAUAUGAUGCUGAACUUUAUAUCCAUCACACGUAAAAAGGGGAAAGCUGAUGGCACGAUGACUAUUCUGUUACCUGGUGACUUCUGAGAUUUUGACAUUUGCUUUUGUUCUCUGCUGGAAGGAAAACAGAAGUCUUUGUGGAGCACUGUAUUAGACUGGUAUUCAGGGCAAAUACAGGACUCUCAG